rnacentral:rRNA from 1 species
UUCCGGUUGAUCCUGCCGGAGGCCACCGCUAUUGGAAUCCGAUUAAGACAUGUGAGUCGAGAGUCUUCGGGACUCGGCAGACGGCUCAGUAACACGCGGAUAAUCUGCCCUUGGGUGGGGAAUAAUCUCGGGAAACUGAGCAUAAUACCCCAUAGGCCUGAGAUGCUGGAACGCCCUCAGGCUAAAAGCUCCGGCGCCCAAGGAUGAGUCUGCGGCCUAUCAGCUUGUAGUUGGUGUAAAUGACCAACUAGGCGACGACGGGUACGGGCAUUGGGAGAUGUAGCCCGGAGAUGGACUCUGAGACACGAGUCCAGGCCCUACGGGGCGCAGCAGUCGCGAAAACUUCACAAUGUGGGAAACCGCGAUGAGGGGAUUCCAAGUGCUUGCGUUUUGCGUAAGCUGUUCUCCUGCCUAAAAAGCAGGGGGAGUAAGGGCUGGGUAAGACGGGUGCCAGCCGCCGCGGUAAUACCCGCAGCCCAAGUGGUGGUCGAUAUUAUUGAGCUUAAAGCGUCCGUAGCCUGUCUGGUAAAUUCUUGGGUAAAUCGUGCAGCUUAACUGUCCGAAUUCCGGGGAGACUGCCAGACUUGGGACCGGGAGAGGUUGGAGGUACUCCUGGGGUAGGGGUAAAAUCCCGUAAUCCUGGGAGGACCAUCAGUGGCGAAGGCGUCCAACUGGAACGGAUCCGACGGUCAGGGACGAAGCCCUGGGUCGCGAACUGGAUUAGAUACCCAGGUAGUCCAGGGUGUAAACGCUGCAGACUUGGUGUCGGAGGUCCUACGAGGGCGUCCGGUGCCGGAGAGAAAUUGUUAAGUCUGCCGCUUGGGGAGUACGUCCGCAAGGAUGAAACUUAAAGGAAUUGGCGGGAGAGCACCGCAACGGGAGGAGCGUGCGGUUCAAUUGGAAUCAACGCCGGU